rnacentral:rRNA from 1 species
AAAGAUAUUUAAAGGGCCGCAGUAUCUUGACUGUGCAAAGGUAGCAUAAUCGUUAGUUUUUUAAUUGAAAUCUUGUAUGAAUGGUUUGACAAGAAAAAAUCUGUCUUUAUAAUUAUUUAUUGAAUUUAACUUUUAAGUGAAAAGGCUUAAAUAAAUUAAAAAGACGAUAAGACCCUAUAAAAUUUAAUAUUAAUUAAUUAUUUAGUAAAAUUUUGUUAUAUAAAUAUUUAAUAAUUAAUUAUUAUUUUGUUGGGGUGAUAAUGGUAAAAUGAUUAUUAACUGUUUAUUGUUUUACUACAAAAAUUGUUGUGUAUUUAAUAAAUGAUCCUUGUUGAAGAUUAAGAGUUUAAGUUACUUUAGGGAUAACAGCGUUAUUUUCUUUGAGAGUUCUUAUCGAGAAGAGAGUUUGCGACCUCGAUGUUGAAUUAAAAUAUCUAUAUAAUUGUAGCAGUUAUAUAAGAAGGUCUGUUCGACCUUUAAAUUUUUACAUG